CCUUAUGUCAUCUGGUAACACUGGGGUUCUGAGACAGACAGUGUUAGCUCCAGAAGCAUUGCCUGUCUUAGAACCCCUAUGUUACCAGACGACAUAGGAGUGAAUAAAAUC
rnacentral:ncRNA from 2 species